UGGGGAAUUUUGCGCAAUGGGCGAAAGCCUGACGCAGCAACGCCGCGUGUGUGACGAAGGCCCUAGGGUUGUAAAGCACUGUGGGAGGGGAAGAAAAACCGGAGUGUAUCCGGUCUUGACGGUACCCUGUUAGAAAGCACCGGCUAACUCCGUGCCAGCAGCCGCGGUAAUACGGAGGGUGCAAGCGUUGUUCGGAAUUAUUGGGCGUAAAGGGCGUGUAGGUGGCAGUCCAAGUCUGGUGUGAAAGCCC
rnacentral:rRNA from 1 species